AAACUUUGUAAACAACUUCUACACGCUGGUUUAAAGCUCGUCCGCCGUAUUUACUACGAAACAGCGUGGUGGUGCUGCAGCCGAGAGACUCAAACGACUCAAAACAGACGCAAACACAAUUCAAAAAUCUAUGAAGGUAAGAAGAAUAAUGUCACGCAAACCAGAGAGAAGCAGCACCAGAAAGGCCAGCAAGGCAAGAAUUAAGACCAAAGCCUGGAUCAGGCUCUUUAUGGGAUCCCUGAGUGACAGAUACUCGGCUGAAAUUACACAUGGAGAUCUCCACCCCACUCGAAGCUGUCCAAGUUUUAAUGACUGGGAUCCUACCAGUGAGAUGCAUAUCAGGGGGAAGCCUCGGGAGAUGACUGCAGGUGUCUGUAAGGCGGGGAUUUACAUUUUCUCAGGACAGGCAGCCCAUGGAGAGAGGCCUGCUGGCAGAUCAAAGGCUCCGGCUGUAAAACGAUCUGAAAGAGUCCAGCAUUAGCAUCCAUCAGGGUACCUUGAAAGCUCCCUGAUCAGCCGAGAGGGAAGCUGAGGGCCCCCCAAAGUGAAAGCCCAGUCUGG
ensembl:lncRNA